UAAUUUCUAAAAUAUUUAUAGGAAAUUUUUUCAUUUUAGAAGACGCCUAUUGAAGGUCUUACACAUUCAUAUAACCUGAAAAAAGCAUUCAAACAUAUAUUGAUAGACAUUUCAUUCAUACACAUUUCAUUCCAAAACAUUCCAUUCAUACACAUUCAUAUAUUGAUAGACAUCAAUUCCAAAACAUUCCAUUCAAUUCUUCAAUUCUAUACCAUUCCAAAAGAUAAAAGAAAAUGAAUGAAUUCUAAACCAUUCUAAACCAUUCCAAUUCCAUACCAUUCCAAUUUUCAUACAAUUCAUGUCAUUUAAAACAAAACUAAACGAAAAGAUAAAUAAAGAGGAACCUAUUUGUUAGUGUCGGUCAUGCUCUUAGUCGCGCUAUUCGUCCCACUUUUAGUCGGACUUUGACUCGCUUUUUUGCCAACAUUUUCGACAUUUGAAUCUCUUGUAGUAGGCGUGAUUAUGUUGUCGCGUCCUUGGCUCGACUGACCCUAAUGUAAAAAAAAUUGAAAUUAUAAAGAAAAUAUGAAUAUUGAUUUAUAUAUAAAUGCUAAUUACCUCAAUCGUCUCUCGACGUAAGUCUUCCCUUAGUUCCUUUAGUAUAUCCGGCAUCUGUUUUCUAAUGGCCUCUUGAACUGCCCGAUCAAAGUCUUCUUUACUUUUUUGUUGUUGAAUUUCUAUAUAAUUCGUCGUUGUGUUCUGUGAAGUCGCCAUAUUAUCAGGAAUUGGUAAUGGCAUUGGAUUACUUGCUCUGGUUCCAAGCACACGACCUUUGUUUUUUCCGUUAGN
rnacentral:lncRNA from 1 species